AGUGACAAAGUGAGGGCGUGACAGAUGACAGAGGGAGGGGAUGACUGGUGACCGAGUGAGGGAGGGGAUGACUGGUGACCGAGUGAGGGAGGGGGUGACUAGUGACCGAGUGAGGGAGGGGAUGACUGGUGACCGAGUGAGGGAUGGGGUGACUAGUGACAGUCACCACCUCCUUCACUCUGUCACUGUCACCCCCUUCCUCACUCUGUCACCCCCUUCCUCACUCUGUCACCCCCUUCCUCACUCUGUCACUCCCUUCCUCACUCUGUCACUAGUCACCCCCUCUCUCACUGUCACCAGUCAUUCCUUCACUAUGUCA